UACGUAGGCAGCGAGCGUUGUUCGGAGUUACUGGGCGUAAAGGGUGUGCAGGCGGUUCUUUAAGUUUGGUGUGAAAUCUCCCGGCUCAACCGGGAGGGUGCGCCGAAUACUGAGGGACUAGAGUACGGGAGAGGAAAGUGGAAUUCCUGGUGUAGCGGUGAAAUGCGUAGAUAUCAGGAGGAACACCGGUGGUGUAGACGGCUUUCUGGACCGUAACUGACGCUGAGACACGAAAGCGUGGGUAGCAAACAGG
rnacentral:rRNA from 1 species